rnacentral:rRNA from 1 species
CGUAGGGGCAAGCGUUGUCCGGAUUCAUUGGGCGUAAAGAGCGUGUAGGCGGCCAGGUAGGUCCGUUGUGAAAACUCGAGGCUCAACCUCGAGACGUCGAUGGAAACCAUCUGGCUAGAGUCCGGAAGAGGAGAGUGGAAUUCCUGGUGUAGCGGUGAAAUGCGCAGAUAUCAGGAAGAACACCUAUGGCGAAGGCAGCUCUCUGGGACGGUACUGACGCUGAGACGCGAAAGCGUGGGGAGCGAACAGGAUU